rnacentral:rRNA from 1 species
GGAUGCGAUCAUACCACGACUAAUGCACCGUGGAUCCCAUCAGAACUCCGAAGUUAAGCGUGCUUGGCGAGAGUAGUACUAGGAUGGGUACCCCUGGGAAGUCCUCGUGUUGCAUCCC